GGGCCCGCACAAGCGGUGGAGCAUGUGGUUUAAUUCGAUGAUACGCGAGGAACCUUACCAGGGCUUAAAUGUAGUGGGACAGGUCUAGAGAUAGACCCUUCUUCGGACUCAUUACAAGGUGCUGCAUAGUUGUCGUCAGCUCGUGCCGUGAGGUGUCAGGUUAAGUCCUAUAACGAGCGCAACCCCUAUCGUUAGUUGCCAGCGGGUAAUGCCGGGAACUCUAGCGAAACUGCCGGUGCAAACCGAGAGGAAGGUGGGGAUGACGUCAAAUCAUCACGGCCCUUACGUCCUGGGCUACACACGUGCUACAAUGGCCGGUACAGAGGGCAGCCACACCGCAAGGUGGAGCGAAUCCUUAAAACCGGUCUCAGUUCGGAUCGGAGUCUGCAACUCGACUCCGUGAAGCUGGAAUC
rnacentral:rRNA from 1 species